CUUCUCCUUGGUUGUGCAUUGCACAAGCUGCCGAUGUGGCUCAACACAGGGACUAAAAACCCUUCCAGUCAAUGUCGAUGGGGUACGAUGCGCUGCAUGCUGCUAACCUGAGUGGGCUGAGAGACUUGGAAAUUCCAACAGGUUUGAUUUGUGAAGCUUUAAUUUGCAGUCAUGCCUGACUGUAAGCCUUCACUAGAGAGCCUCAAUAUGAACAAGAACACCCCAUUAUGGAUGAGGCAACUGGGGCUCCAGGGAUGAGGGCGCACACCCGGGGUGGCAGAGCAGGCCGGGAAGCAGGAGCUGAGCCUGGGUCUGUUUGAUUUCAGAUGCCUAGCCCAGUCCAUGGUGCAGCCCAAUCCUGCAGUUUGGUUUUGAGACACGCAGGAGUUGCCUGUAGAGAUGUAAAAACCACAAAGGCAUCUGGUAUCCAGAAACUAUGAAGAACUCCUAGAGCUCAACAACAAAGACAGACAACCCAAUUUAAAAAUGGGUGACGAGAUCGGGCACGGUGGCUCACGCCUGUAAUUCCAGCACUUUGGGAGGCCGAGGCUGGUGGAUCACCUGAGGUCACGAGUUUGAGACCAGACUGGCCAACAUGGUGAAACCCCGUCUCUACUAAAAAUACAAAACAAAUUAGCUGGGUAUGAAGGCAGAUGCCUAUGAUUCCAGCUACUUGGGAGGCUGAGGCAGGAGAAUUGCUUGAAUCCAGGAGGCGGAGGUUGCAGUGAGCCAAGAUCAUACCACUGCACACCAGCCUGGGCACAAGAGCGAAACUCCAUCUCAAAAAAAAAAAAGGUGAAGAACUUAAAUAGACAUUCUCCAAAGAAUAUAUACCAAUGGCCAGUAAGUAAGCCUAUGGAAAGAUGAUCAAUGUCAUUAGUGACUAGGAAAAUGCAAAUCAAAACCACAAUGAGAUGCCACUUCAUACCCACUAGGAUGACAAUACACUAGGAUGGCUAUAAUACAAGAAAAGGAAAGCAACAAGUGUUCACAAGGAUAUGGAGAAGCAGUAACCUUGGUUUGCUGCUGGUGGGUGUAAAAUGGUGCAUCCACUGUGGAAAAGUUUAGAGGUUCCUCAAAAAGUUAAAACGUGGAGAUAUGGUAUGAAACUACAACCCCAUUCCUAGGCAUAUGCCCAAAAUAUCUGAAAACAGGUCAUCAGACACUCAUACACCAAUGUUCACAACAGUGCUAUUCACAAUAGCCAAAAGGUGGAAACAACUCAAAUGUCCAUAAACUGACAAAUGGAUAAACUCGUGGUAUAUUCAUACAGUGGACUAUCAGUCAUAAUCAUCGAGGACCGACACAUGCUACAAUGUGGAUGAGCCUGACAAACAUCAGCCAAGUCAAAGAAACCAGACACAAGAGGUCAUGUAUGGUAGGAUUCCAUUUUCUGUUUUCUUGAGACAGAGUUUCACUCUUGUUGCCCAGGCUGGAGUGCAGUGGCCCAAUCUCAGCUCACUGCAACCUCUGCCUCCUGAGUAGCUGGGAUUACAGGCGUGAGCCACCACGCCCUGGCUAAUUUUUGUAUGUUUAGUAGAGAUGGGGUUUCAUCAUAUUGGUCAGGCUGGUCUUGAACUCCUGAUCUCAGGUGAUCUGCCUGCUUUGGCCUCCCAAAGUGCUAGGAUUACAGGCGUGAGCCACUGUGCCCAGCCUGGUAUGAUUCCAUUUAAACAAAAUAUACAGAGUAGGUAAAUCCAUAGAGAUAAGAAGUGGUUGGUGGUUCCCUGGGGCUGGGAGAGGCAAAACCACACAUGCAGGGCCACAACCCACACCCACUCAGAGAUGCUCCAGGAACAAUCUCAGGAAUCUGCAUUUAUAAAAAUCCUCUCCAAUACUCCACCAGGACACAGAGCCACUGGUCUAUGGGGCCAGGAGCCCAAGACCUGAGAACAAUUCUAGUUUCUUCAACAACUAGCAACGUGACUGGUCAACUCACACCCAGCUCUGCUCAUCUUCUAAACUGUAAAUCAGAGUCCAUAUGGCUUGUAUUAUUCACAAGGUUUUUGUGAAGGCAAAGGGGGAACAUGGCCACCACUGGAAAAAGUGGAAGAUGGAAAGUUAGUGAUCUGAAUCUGAACCUUUCACUGGACAUCUUCUCUGCUCUGAGGGACCACCUGUGGGGUGGGAAGAAAUUGGGCUCAGUGCUUACCAUGUGGAAAGGGAGGAAGGGCUGUCCACAUGGGACACGAGGGACAGAUAUGAGGGACAGAGGCUGGUGAGACCUUCCAGGGUGAGCUCCUUCCAGCAAUGGCUGAUACCUGUUGCUUCUGCAAAUGUUCCCCAGACCCUCUGCACUCUCACAGGUCAGAGUAAAAAAAGGUUGGAUUAUUUAUUUAAAACAAAAAGUUUGAGAGACAGGGUCUUGCUCUGUCACCCAGGCUGGAGUGCAGUGGUGUGAUCAUGGCUUGCUGCAGCCUCAAACUCGUGGGUUCAAAGGAUCCUCCCACUUUAGCCUCCUGAGCAGCUGGGACUAAAGGCGUGUACAACUGUGCUUGGCUGUAUCUUUAAUAAUAGAGACAAGGUCUAACUAUGUUGCCCAGUCUGGUCUUCAACUCCCGACCUCAAGCAAUCCUCCAGCCUUGACUUCCCUAAGUGCUGGAUUAGGUGUGAGCCUCCACGCCCCGUUGGGGUUGGAUUCUUUUAUUUUUUUUUUAAUUUUUAAAUUUUUUUUGAGACUGCGUCUCGCUCUGUCACCCAGGCUGGAGUCCAGUGACACAAUAUCGGCUAACUGUAACCUCUGCCUCCUGGGUUCAAGCAAUUCUCCUGCCUCAGCCUCCUGAGUAGCCGGGUCUACAGGCGCAUACCGCCACGCCUGGCUGAUUUUUUGUAUUUUAGGAGAGACAGGGCUUCACUGUGUUGCCCAGGCUGGUCUCCAACUCCUGAGCUCAGGCAAUCCACCCACCUCAGCCUCCCAAAGCACUGAGAUUACAGGCGUAAGCCACUGCACCCAGCCUGGGUUCUUUAUUAAGGCAAUGAAUUCUGGGUGUCCUGGCUUAACUAAAGAGGGAAUGAAGCUUCUUCUGCAGGAUCAGUGUUACCACAGCCACUUUCUUGUAUUACACCGUCCUUCUCAGGACAUCUAUGAGAGAAGCCCUGGGCAGCUUGGACAUGGCCUGCCCCACGAGUGCUGCUGGCUCACCUGGGGCUUUCUGGAGGUGAAGGAAGCAGUCCUGGGAGCUUCUUCCUUUGGCACACAGUGAGCUUCAGCUAGGACUGCACCAAUCCUCUGCUAACAGCAACCACCCUUGGGGGGUCCGAGGGAGCAGCUGCGUGACUUUUCAGCAGUGGCUAUGGUCACUUCUGAGGCUUGGGAAGAGGGCCACUGUCCAACAGAGCUGGCCUGCUCCACAGUGGUCUGGACCUUGUGC